AUUAACGUACGAGGAUUUCAGAAAUUUCUAAGUAAUGUCGAAGGGGUGAAUUCUUUGGCAAGCUAUUUGAAAACAAAACGGCGGAAAGACGAGUUGAGGAUUUAAGAGAACGAGGUUGAGCGGUGACGAGCGCGGUGGGUGUUGAGCAUAAAAGUGAAGAAUGUCUAUCA